GUGUCAGCAGCCGCGGUAAUACGUAGGUGGCAAGCGUUGUCCGGAAUUAUUGGGCGUAAAGGGCUCGCAGGCGGUUCCUUAAGUCUGAUGUGAAAGCCCCCGGCUCAACCGGGGAGGGUCAUUGGAAACUGGGGAACUUGAGUGCAGAAGAGGAAAGUGGAAUUCCAUGUGUAGCGGUGAAAUGCGCAGAGAUAUGGAGGAACACCUGUGGCGAAGGCGACUUUCUGGUCUGUAACUGACGCUGAUGUGCGAAAGCGUGGGGAUCAAACAGG
rnacentral:rRNA from 1 species